GGAGGAAAAGAAACCAACAGGGAUUGCCUCAGUAACGGCGAGUGAAGCGGCAACAGCUCAAAUUUGAAAUCUGGCUCUUUCAGGGUCCGAGUUGUAAUUUGUAGAGGAUGUUUCGGGCAAGGCUUCGGUUUAAAUCCCUUGGAACAGGGUGUCACAGAGGGUGAGAGUCCCGUCUUGAACCGUAUGCCGCGUCCAUGUGAAGCUCCUUCGACGAGUCGAGUUGUUUGGGAAUGCAGCUCAAAAUGGGAGGUAUAUUUCUUCUAAAGCUAAAUAUUGGCCAGAGACCGAUAGCGCACAAGUAGAGUGAUCGAAAGAUGAAAAGCACUUUGAAAAGAGAGUUAAACAGUAUGUGAAAUUGUUGAAAGGGAAGCGCUUGUAACCAGACUUGAGCUGGGCGGUUCUACCGCGGUUCGCCGUGGCCUAUUCCGUCCGGUCCAGGCCAGCAUCGGUUCGGGUGGUCAGUUAAAGACCUCGGGAAUGUAUCUACUCUUCGGGGUCGACUUAUAGCCCGGGGUGCAAUGUGACCUACCUGGACCGAGGAACGCGCAUCUGCUCGGAUGCUGGCGUAAUGGUUAUAAGCGAC
rnacentral:rRNA from 1 species